AUUUUUCAUUAACACAUGAACAAGGCAUUAAGCCAUUACAUAUAUCAGUCAAUAAGUAAAACAAACAAGUAAUCACCUACUAACAUACCUAACACCACUAAAAUGCCUAGUAACUUGGUAAACUUGAUUGAAAAACAAAAAAGCUUCUACCUAAGCUUGUCAUUCAGCACCUAAUUACAUCAAAAUGCAGCUACCAACUAAGUUUGAUCCUAACUAAAUACAAAACAUUCAAUUAAGGAAACCAAAUGAAUAGCUUCAGCUUGCUGCAUCAAUUUGCUGCUGAAGCACGUUCCUUGCAUGGCCACCUUUGCUGCUAUAUGGGAGCUGACUUCAACACUCCUCCUCAGCUUCUAUGCAGCAGACUCCUAGCUUCCUCUUCAGGCUUAGAUAUCUUGAUACACCAAGAGGCUUUGUGAAGAUAUCGGCAAUCUGAUUUUCAGAACUGCAAUAGAUUAGCUCAAUUUCUCGAGCUUGUUCCAUUUCUCUUAUCACAUGGAGUUUGAUGUUGAAAUGUUUUGUCCUGCCAUGAAAGACAGGAUUUUUAGCAAUAGCAACUGCUGACUUGUUGUCACAAUGUAUCACAGUUGCUUCAUUCUGCUGUAGAUUCAAGUCACUCAAAAUUUUUCUCAGCCACAUGGCUUGAUUAACAGCAUUGGCAGCUGCUACAUACUCUGCUUCUGCUGUCGAUUGAGCCACCAUUGUUUGUUUUCUUGAGCUCCAACAAAUCAUAGCUGAGCCAAGUGUAAAAGCAUAGCCAGAAGUGCUCUUCAUGUCAUCCUUUGAACCAGCCCAAUCGCUAUCAGUGUAGCCAAUCAGUUUCAACUCUUCAGCCUUUCUAAACUGUAUUCCAUGGUUUAAGGUACCUUUAAUGUAUCUUAGCACCCUUUUCCCAGCCUUGUAAUGUUGCUGGUUACAGCAGUGCAUGAACCUUGAUAGCAUGCUUACAGCAAACAAAAUGUCGGGUCUUGUUACUGUCAAAUACAAUAAACACCCAACAAGGCUUCUGUAAUCUGUUUCACAGACAGAUUCAUGUUCCUCCUGGCUCGAUAGCUUUAUGCCAAUAGCCAUUGGUGUGCUCACUGGUUUACAAUUCUCCAUUGAGAAUUUAGCCAGCACUUUCAAGGCAAAUGUCUUUUGUUUCAAGAAGAUUCCUCCUUCUAUUUGAUUGACUUCCAUUCCUAGGAAAUAUGUCAUCAAUCCCAGGUCUGACAUCUCAAACAUUUUCUUCAUUCUUGCUUUGAAAUCAACCAUCAUAAGCUUGUCUCCUCCAGUCACGAGAAGAUCAUCAACAUAUAGUGACACAAUAAGCUGUGUUUCAGCUCCAUUCUUCUUAACAUAGAGUGUUGGCUCACUAGCACUCCUUUCAAAUCCCAAACUGACCAAAUAUGAGUCAAUUCGAGCAUACCAGGCUCGAGGGGCCUGUUUUAGGCCAUACAAGGCCUUUCUUAGCCUAUACACCAAUUGUUCCUUACCAGGCAUUAUAAAACCUGGGGGUUGCUCGAUGUAUAUCUCUUCUUCUAGAAAUCCAUUGAGGAAUGCAGACUUGACAUCCAUUUGGUGGAUUGUCCACUGGUUCUGAGCAGCAACUGCAAUCAGCAAUCUGAUUGUAUCGAGUCUGGCUACUGGAGCAAAUGUUUCCAUGUAGUCCAGACCAUACCUUUGACUGAAGCCCUUUACAACUAGCCUGGCCUUUAGCUUGUUUAAGCUUCCAUCUGCAUUGUGCUUCACUCGAUAGACCCAUUUUACACCGAUAGUCUUUCUGUUGGCAGGCUUUUCAACCAACUCCCAUGUCUGAUUCUUUACAAUCAUGUUGAUUUCAUCAACCAUAGCUUGUUUCCAACCUUCAUCUACCUCAGCCUCUUCAAAACUGCUAGGUUCUACUAAUGCAACCUGUGCCCUUUCAUAAAUAUCUUCUAGGGGCCUUGUGCCUCUCACAGGCACAUCAUCAACAUCCAUUUCAGGUUCUAGCUGCUCAAGUUCAGCUUGAUUAGGCACUAGGUCUUCUGAAAUUGCUUCUGGCUCAUUUUUCUCCCAAUUCCAGCAGGCUUUUUCAUCAAAGAUGACAUCUCUGCUCACUUGGACUUUGUUUGUCAAGGGAUCCAGAACCCUGUAGCCCUUUUUGACUGAGCUGUAGCCUACUAGAACACCUGGUUGAGCCCUUUUAGAGAGCUUGUCUCUCUUUGCUGCUGGUAUUUGUGCAUAACACAGGCAACCAAACACCUUCAGGUGUGCCAAGGAAGGCUUGAAACCAAACCAAGCCUCAAAAGGUGUCUCGGAUGCAAGAGCUUUAGUGGGAAGCCUGUUCUGAAGGUAAACAGCAGUGUUUACUGCCUCAGCCCACAUGGUCUUGGGCAGUUUCUUCUCAAACAGCAGACAUCUGGCCAUAUCCAUCAGACUUCUAUUCUUUCUUUCAGCUACCCCAUUCUGCUGAGGUGUGUAGACAUUUGUAAGCUGAUGUUUGAUACCAGCAUCAUUGCAAAUGGCUUGAAACUGAGCUGAAGUGUACUCAGUGCCAUUGUCUGUCCUUAUCGAUUUCAGCUUGCAACCUGUUUCUGUUUCUACAGCAUUUUUAAACUUCACAAACACUUGAGCUACCUCAGACUUGUGUUUUAAAAAGAAAAUCCAGCAAAACCUUGUAAGAUCAUCAAUAAAGAGGAUGAAAUACCUGUUUUUGCUGAGUGAUUCAGUCCUCAUCGGGCCACAUACAUCAGAGUGCACCAGCUGUAGUCUUUCAGUAGCUCUCCAAGCUGAAUUUGUAGGAAAUGGCAGUCUUGCCUGUUUCCCCAUUUGGCAGACUUCACACACAUUAUCAUGCUCCACUGAGCUGGUGAAGUUCUCUGCCAUGCCCUCUUUGGCCAAUCGAGCCAUUGAUCUGAAGUUGGCAUGUCCAAGCCUUUGAUGCCAAAGCUUGGAGUCUUCAACAGAGGCUGUGUAUGCUGAGUUUGAGUCAUUUGCCCAGUGAACCUCAAAGCAUUUAUCAGUCAUUGUGACUGUCAUAAGGCUUGAUCCACUUGGAUCAGUAAUAUGGCAUUGUUUAUCCUUGAACACAACAGAAUAACCUUUCUCGAGCAGUUGAGCUAUGCUGAGAAGGUUUCUGUCAAUCUGUGGUACCAACAGCACAUUUGGAAUGAUCUUGUUGCCUGUGGGAGUAGAUAUCAGCACUUCUCCUCUUCCUUCAGCCCUUAUAAACUGACCAUUUCCAACCUUGACCUUGGUUUUAUAACUUCUGUCCAAGGUUUUAAACAAGGAGGCAUCUGGUGACAUGUGGUUAGUGCAACCACUGUCCAACAGCCAGCCUUUAGAGCAUUUCUUCUCAGAAGCUACACAGGAAACAGCAAAGACCUGUUCUUCUUGGUCACUACUGUCCUCAGCUACUCGAGCUUCAACCUUUGACUGCUGAAAUUGAUUCUGCCUUGGCUUACUUCUGUUUUUGCAGACCCUUUCAACAUGGCCCUUCUUCUUGCAGUGUUGGCAUACUGCAUCUGGCCUAAACCAGCAUCUGUCUUCUGGAUGGCCAGGCUUCUUGCAAUAUCUGCAGGGCUGGUCAUUGCUCCUUGCAGCAUCAGGCUUAGGCCUGUUUUUCCAAGGCCUUUUGCCUCUUUGAGCAUUAGUGCUCGAGGUUUCUCUGGCCUUGGCUUGAAAUGCACCUUCUUGGUGAUCUUCAGCUCUGCUAGCUCUUCUUUGUUCCUGAGCAUAAAAGGUGUUGAUUAGCUCAGUCAAAGAGAUGCUAGCAAGAUCUCUUGAGUCCUCUAGAGAGGAUAUCUUGGCCUCAUAUCUCUCAGGCAAAGUGGAGAGGACUUUCUCCACAAUUCUUGCCUCAUCAAAGUGCUCACCUAGGAGCCUUAUGCUGUUAACCACUGCCAUAAUUCUAUCUGAGUACUGCUUCACUGUUUCUUCUUCCUUCAUCUUCAAAUUCUCGAAAUCCCUUCUCAAGUUUAGCAGCUGCUGUUGCCUUGUUCUCUCAGUGCCUUGAAACUCCUCCUUAAGCUUAUCCCAGGCCUGUUUUGGAGUCUCACAGGCCAUGAUUCUGGUGAAGAUGACAUCUGACACACAGUUCUGGAUGCAGGACAUGGCUUUGUGCCUUUUGGUCCUCUCAUCAGCAUGUUGCCUAAUCUGAGCUACUGUGGGAUUAGCCCUCAGUGGUGCUGGCUCAGUAUCUGUGUUGACAACUUCCCACAGAUCAAAAGCCUGUAGGUAAGUCUUCAUCUUGACCAGCCAUAUGUGAAAGCCUUCUCCAUUGAAGACUGGUGGGGCUGCUGGUGAAAAUCCUGAAGAAGCCAUCAAGUUCUUUGUUUUGAAGCAACAGGUCCACUAAGACAAGAGCUCUCGAUACCAAUUGUUGGUGCAAGAGGCAGCAGCAAGCUGUUUCUAGUCUUGCUUGAGUAGUAAGGCUCGAGGCUUGGUGAAGAAGCAAACUCGGAAGCAGAAAAAAUAGAAAGAUGAAGCUAGCAAGUGAAAACAGAAAAGAGAGAAAGAGAUUGAAUGAAAAUGAGCUGAUAUUUUUCAUUAACACAUGAACAAGGCAUUAAGCCAUUACAUAUAUCAGUCAAUAAGUAAAACAAACAAGUAAUCACCUACUAACAUACCUAACACCACUAAAAUGCCUAGUAACUUGGUAAACUUGAUUGAAAAACAAAAAAAGCUUCUACCUAAGCUUGUCAUUCAGCACCUAAUUACAUCAAAAUGCAGCUACCAACUAAGUUUGAUCCUAACUAAAUACAAAACAUUCAAUUAAGGAAACCAAAUGAAUAGCUUCAGCUUGCU
rnacentral:lncRNA from 1 species